rnacentral:rRNA from 1 species
CAGUAGCCGCGGGAAUACGAAGGGGGCUAGCGUUGCUCGGAAUGACUGGGCGUAAAGGGCGCGUAGGCGGUUCGUACAGUUGGAUGUGAAAUUCCUGGGCUUAACCUGGGGGCUGCAUUCAAUACGUGCGGGCUUGAGUGUGGAAGAGGGUUGUGGAAUUCCCAGUGUAGAGGUGAAAUUCGUAGAUAUUGGGAAGAAUACCUAUUGCGAAGGCGAUCUGCUGGAACUUAACUGACGCUAAUGCGUGAAAGCGUGGGGAGCAAACAGGAUUAGAUACCCCCGUAGUCCCUGUCUCUUAUAC